AUGCACAAUCUGCUGCGGUUCCCAGCGCAUCCAUUUCCUGCCGUGAACAGCAAGGACCUUCUCCUUCCCAGACGUCGAAACAGGCUACAUAACCUCCGACAGCCCAAGUUACCUGAGAUCGCACCAGUCCUGGGUGGACUCGAGGCCCAGCCGGCUCACGCGGGGCACGCGGGCCCACGCACGCUGGACGUGCACGCAGACGCACCACGCACGCAGACGCACCCACGCACGCACGUGUUCACGUCGGCGUCUCACCUCGCUCGGGACGUGGGCUUUGUCACGUGCUCUAAAGCAGCAGGACUUCCUGUCCGUGCCGGGCGGCAACCGGAAGCGGAACCCAGUCGUAUUUUCUGUGGAAACCUGCCUUCCCCCGCUUCUGGAGAAUCCUUGAAUGUGGGAGCAGAGAAGAAGGCAAAGGCUUUCCAGUCUGUCGGCAUCAGGAAACGGAAGCCAGACGGCAUGGCUGACCCCAGGUGCUACAGAAUCAUCUAUGAGCAAUGUUUUAACUGUUUCUCCAAAGAAGCUUGGACAAUGAAAAGAACCUGGAUUUCAGCACCAGGCUCAAUGUGUUUUGACAUCAGCUGUGGAUUUGCCUGACUCCUGUGCUAAUAGCAAGCAACACAAAGGCAAGCCAAGCACUUGGAUCUUCAUGUCAUGCCCAGCACCUAACACAGUGUGUGUCAGGUCCUCAUUAAGAUCUGUUGAAUUGAGGAUCGAAUAAAGACUUUAAAGCUUCAAAGUUAGCUCUCACCCUGAUUACUGAAAGCGCGGAAGAAAUAACCUGUUGAACAUUUUAUUUGAAAUUAUUUGUUCCUUGUUAAAUCGAAUUACUUUUUUUCUCCUUUAACACUCUCUAACAAUAACAUGUAAAUCAUGAGCUUUUAUUUCAGAUUUAGAAACUUAACCAUUAAGUACAAAAAGCCUGUGCUUGAUACUUAAACCAGUUUAACUAAUAAGGUUUA